UAUUAAUAAUGAUAAUUAUUUAUUAUUAUUUCAUAAUAAUAAUUAAUUAAAUUAUUACUUAGUUGGGUCAACCCAUAACUCAUUUAACCCUAAACUCAUUUGAUUAUGAGUUGAGUUGAGUUGGGUUACCCAUUUUGACAUCCUUAUGCAUGUCGCACCAUUAGACAACAACCUACCACCGUCAGAAGGCAACUAGUCUAUCGAAAUGACUUCUUUGCAUCUAGUUGUAGCAUCUAAACGUCUAAAAGAACAGUACCAAAAUGAAUGAACACGUCGAGGAAAGCAUUGUAGAAGUCCGUUACUCCUAAUCUAUAAAAGAUCGACACAAUUAUGAAGACUAUUUGUAUGAUG
rnacentral:sRNA from 1 species